UCAGAUUGAACGCUGGCGGCAGGCCUAACACAUGCAAGUCGAGCGGUAACAUUUCUAAGCUUGCUUAGAAGAUGACGAGCGGCGGACGGGUGAGUAAUACUUGGGGAUCUGCCUGAUGGCGGGGGACAACCACUGGAAACGGUGGCUAAUACCGCAUAAUACCUAUGGGUCAAAGUGUGGGACCUUCGGGCCACACGCCAUCAGAUGAACCCAAGUGAGAUUAGCUGGUUGGUAAGGUAACGGCUUACCAAGGCGACGAUCUCUAGCUGGUCUGAGAGGAUGAUCAGCCACACUGGGACUGAGACACGGCCCAGACUCCUACGGGAGGCAGCAGUGGGGAAUAUUGGACAAUGGGGGCAACCCUGAUCCAGCCAUGCCGCGUGUGUGAAGAAGGCCUUCGGGUUGUAAAGCACUUUCAGUGGUGAGGAAGGUGGUGUCGUUAAUAGCGGCAUCAAUUGACGUUAGCCACAGAAGAAGCACCGGCUAACUCCGUGCCAGCAGCCGCGGUAAUACGGAGGGUGCGAGCGUUAAUCGGAAUUACUGGGCGUAAAGCGCACGUAGGCGGUAUGUUAAGCAAGAUGUGAAAGCCCAGAGCUCAACUCUGGAAUAGCAUUUUGAACUGGCAUGCUAGAGUUUUGGAGAGGGUGGUAGAAUUUCCAGUGUAGCGGUGAAAUG
rnacentral:rRNA from 1 species